GCAAGUCUGGUGCCAGCAGCCGCGGUAAUUCCAGCUCCAAUAGCGUAUAUUAAAGUUGUUGCGGUUAAAAAGCUCGUAGUUGAACCUUGGGCCUGGCUGGCCGGUCCGCCUCACCGCGUGCACUGGUCCGGCCGGGCCUUUCCUCCUGGGGAGCCGCAUGCCCUUCACUGGGUGUGUCGGGGAACCAGGACUUUUACUUUGAAAAAAUUAGAGUGUUCAAAGCAGGCCUAUGCUCGAAUACAUUAGCAUGGGAUAAUAGAAUAGGACGUAUGGUUCUAUUUUGUUGGUUUCUAGGACCGCCGUAAUGAUUAAUAGGGAUAGUCGGGGGCAUCAGUAUUCAAUUGUCAGAGGUGAAAUUCUUGGAUUUAUUGAAGACUAACUACUGCGAAAGCAUUUGCCAA
rnacentral:rRNA from 1 species